AUGAUUGCCAAUGCUGAUCACUUGUCACGGAAGGUCGCGGGGCAAGCACUGGCAAUGUUGACGACAGAAAGUGCCCAAAAUUGCUUGAUUGUGUUGCAGGAACCAGACUUCAUUAAGAAAUUGAAACAUAUGAUCUUGAUCCAUGAUGGCAAGUACAUAUAUGUGGCAGCAAGUCUGUUACGUAACCUGUGCCUGCACUCUCGACACGAGCUCAGAGAGCCGGACCUAAAGGAGCUAUCUCAUAUCUUGCGAGAGGUGUUGGAGAAAAUAAUUGACGUGGAAGGGGCAGAACUAGAGAUCAUCAUUGGCCUUAGUUCACUAAUUUGUAAAACCAUUCCUCAAGACUUUACCCAAGAACUAGAAGGCGGCCAGAUUAAGCGAAGAUUUGUGAAAAGGCUCGUCGAUGUGUUGAAUGCAAAUACGGAACCUGGCGCUAAUUGUCCUGGGAUCAGAAGGGUUAUACUUGAGCAGGUCAUUUACAUGAUGGAGUCCAAUUAUCGCUAUGCGGACUGUUUCAACGAAUUCAGGAUGACAGAAGCCCUCUCAGUCGUCGAACAAACACUGUCACACGCUGAGAGCUACAAGUUCUUCUUGGGUGAUGCAGGUUUCAUGGAGUACAACACACCUAUCUCCGCUCUUGUGGUAAGAGCAAAAGAGCUUAUGUGUUGUAACUGA
rnacentral:rRNA from 1 species